AACGAACGCUGGCGGCAUGCCUAACACAUGCAAGUCGAACGAGACCUUCGGGUAUAGUGGCGCACGGGUGCGUAACGCGUGGGAACCUGCCCUUAGGUUCGGAAUAACUCCCCGAAAGGGGUGCUAAUACCGGAUAAUGUCUUCGGACCAAAGAUUUAUCGCCUUUGGAUGGGCCCGCGUUGGAUUAGCUAGUUGGUAGGGUAAAGGCCUACCAAGGCGACGAUCCAUAGCUGGUCUGAGAGGAUGAUCAGCCACACUGGGACUGAGACACGGCCCAGACUCCUACGGGAGGCAGCAGUGGGGAAUAUUGGACAAUGGGCGAAAGCCUGAUCCAGCAAUGCCGCGUGAGUGAUGAAGGCCUUAGGGUUGUAAAGCUCUUUUACCCGGGAUGAUAAUGACAGUACCGGGAGAAUAAGCUCCGGCUAACUCCGUG
rnacentral:rRNA from 1 species